CACUGAGCUCCUAAAUACCUAAAUGUACCAAAACCCAUUUGGUCUUGGAAGCUAAGCAGGGUUAGUCCUAGUUAGUAUUUAGGUGAGAGACCAACAACAAAUACCAAGUGCUGCAGGCA
rnacentral:rRNA from 1 species